AGAUUGAACGCUGGCGGCAGGCUUAACACAUGCAAGUCGAGCGGUAGCAGACCUUCGGGUGCUGACGAGCGGCGGACGGGUGAGUAAUGCAUAGGAAUCUGCCUGGUAGUGGGGGGAUAGCCCGGGGAAACCGGAUUAAUACCGCAUACGCCCUACGGGGGAAAGGAUGGGAUCUUCGGACCAUUCGCUAUCAGAUGAGCCUAUGUCGGAUUAGCUAGUUGGUGGGGUAAAGGCCUACCAAGGCGACGAUCCGUAACUGGUCUGAGAGGAUGAUCAGUCACACUGGAACUGAGACACGGUCCAGACUCCUACGGGAGGCAGCAGUGGGGAAUAUUGGACAAUGGGGGCAACCCGUGAAUCCGAGCCAGUCGACCGCGUGUAUGAAGAAGGCCUUAGGGUUGUAAAGUUACUU
rnacentral:rRNA from 1 species